ACGCAGCUAGGAGAUGCCGGCAAUGCAGGGGAAGAGUGGAGCCCUGGGGAGGGGCUGCAAGGAGAAGGGGGAGUUUCGCUCCCGGUGCAGCAGUUCUAAGGAUUCAGUAGAAAACUGGAAACCAGUGAACAAACUAACAUGCCUUCCUACUCCUGCGAACCUUUAGAAGAUCUGAAACUCCUCUUCAAACGACUAUGAAGUGUCUCCCCGGCUGGUGCUGAGACUCUCUGACUGCCAUUACUUCAAGCCGACAGAUGAUCCUUUCUACUUGAGGAGAUUCGCGUAUGUUGCCUACCUUGGAUUCGGCUGCCUGUGCCUUUGGUAACGCCUAUAUAUAAAUUCCCCAACUGACCAAUGUUGACUCGUAGGGACAUCUCUACGCCCCUGUUCAGCAGGAAGAAGUUACAGAAGAUAAAACCUUCCAACCUCAGCAACCUGAAAUAUUGAAGGGUCAAAAUUGUUCAGGAGGGAAAACGAGGAGGAGAACAAAGGCAAGAGAAAUGCAGCUAAGAUUAAAUUACCUUACAGUUCUCAGCCCACUGAUAAAUACCUGAGACCUGCAGAGCAUGACAUUCCUCAAGGAACCUCAUGACUGCUUUAAUGUUAAUGUUUUGCUAGAGACUAAAAGCAACCUCGUCUUGACAAUAAUAGCCAGAUCUCCAGGAUCCUAGAAGUCUUCUUUAACAUGUGGAAAUCCCUUUAGAGACUUAUGUUAUCUCUAUAUACUUUUAAUUUUUUCCGGGGGGGGGGCAUGUAAUCAGUUGCUCCUCACAAUCAUAAGUGCAACUCACUGCCCACGGGGGUCCUAUGCCUGUGCUAUAAUAAAAGCACC